rnacentral:tRNA from 1 species
UCCCUGGUGGUCCAGCAGGUAAGACCUCAAACUCCCAAUGCAGGGGGCCUAGGUUCAAUUCCUUGUCAGGGAA